rnacentral:rRNA from 1 species
AUUGAACGCUGGCGGCAGGCCUAACACAUGCCAGUCGAGCGGAUGAAGGGAGCUUGCUCCUGGAUUCAGCGGCGGACGGGUGAGUAAUGCCUAGGAAUCUGCCUUGUAGUGGGGGAUAACGUCCGUAAACGGGCGCUAAUACCGCAUACGUCCUGAGGGAGAAAGUGGGGGAUCUUCGGACCUCACGCUAUCAGAUGAGCCUAGGUCGGAUUAGCUAGUUGGUGGGGUAAAGGCCUACCAAGGCGACGAUCCGUAACUGAUCUGAGAGGAUGAUCAGUCACACUGGAACUGAGACACGGUCCAGACUCCUACGGGAGGCAGCAGUGGGGAAUAUUGGACAAUGGGCGAAAGCCUGAUCGAGCAAUGCCGCGUGUGUGAAGAAGGUCUUCGGAUUGUAAAGCACUUUAAGUUGGGAGGAAGGGCAGUAAGUUAAUACCUUGCUGUUUUGACGGUACCAAAAGAAUAAGCACCGGCUAACUUCGUG